rnacentral:rRNA from 1 species
AACAGGAUUAGAUACCCUGGUAGUCCACGCCCUAAACGAUGUCUACUAGUUGUCGGGUUUUAAUUAACUUGGUAACGCAGCUAACGCGUGAAGUAGACCGCCUGGGGAGUACGGUCGCAAGAUUAAAACUCAAAGGAAUUGACGGGGACCCGCACAAGCGGUGGAUGAUGUGGAUUAAUUCGAUGCAACGCGAAAAACCUUACCUACCCUUGACAUGUCAGGAAUCCCGAAGAGAUUUGGGAGUGCUCGAAAGAGAGCCUGAACACAGGUGCUGCAUGGCUGUCGUCAGCUCGUGUCGUGAGAUGUUGGGUUAAGUCCCGCAACGAGCGCAACCCUUGUCAUUAGUUGCUACGCAAGAGCACUCUAAUGAGACUGCCGGUGACAAACCGGAGGAAGGUGGGGAUGACGUCAAGUCCUCAUGGCCCUUAUGGGUAGGGCUUCACACGUCAUACAAUGGUACAUACAGAGGGCCGCCAACCCGCGAGGGGGAGCUAAUCCCAGAAAGUGUAUCGUAGUCCGGAUUGUAGUCUGCAACUCGACUACAUGAAGUUGGAAUCGCUAGUAAUCGCGGAUCAGCAUGUCGCGGUGAAUACGUUCCCGGGUCUUGUACACACCGCCCGUCACACCAUGGGAGCGGGUUUUACCAGAAGUAGGUAGCUUAACCGCAAGGAGGGCGCUUACCACGGUAGGAUUCGUGACUGGGGUGAAGUCGUAACAAGGUAACC